rnacentral:rRNA from 1 species
AGUGAACGCUGGCGGUAGGCCUAACACAUGCAAGUCGAACGGCAGCACAGUAAGAGCUUGCUCUUACGGGUGGCGAGUGGCGGACGGGUGAUGAAUACAUCGGAAUUUACUUUUUCGUGGGGGAUAACGUAGGGAAACUUACGCUAUUACCGCAUACGACCUACGGGUGAAAGCAUGGGAUCUUCGGACCUUGCGCGAUUGUAUGUGCCGAUGUCGGAUUAGCUAGUUGGCGGGGUAAAGGCCCACCAAGGCGACGAUCCGUAGCUGGUCUGAGAGGAUGAUCAGCCACACUGGAACUGAGACACGGUCCAGACUCCUACGGGAGGCAGCAGUGGGGAAUAUUGGACAAUGGGCGAAAGCCUGAUCCAGCCAUACCGCGUGGGUGAAGAAGGCCUUCGGGUUGUAAAGCACUUUUGUUGGGAAAGAAAAGCAGCAGGUUAAUACCCCGCUGUUCUGACGGUACCAAAAGAAUAAGCACCGGCUAACUUCGUG